UGUAGUCCCAUGGGAUAUUUGUUGUCCCAUGGGACAAAAAAAAUCCCAUGGGAUUAUUAUCCCAUGGGAUUUUUAAUAUCCCAUGGGACAAAAUA
rnacentral:sRNA from 1 species